rnacentral:other from 1 species
CGUCCUCUGCGGUAUUCGACAGCAGGCCAAGUACCUUGAGCCUAUACUCAACAGACAGGGGCCGAAACGCCCGGGCCGUUGAGCCGCCGCCUCGUCGCGGCAGCCUGAAGCCCGCCGCCAGGCCCCACGCUUGAACCCUCGGUUCAAGUUCACGGUCUGCAUCGGUACAGGCGGAGGGCGC